rnacentral:rRNA from 1 species
GACGAACGCUGGCGGCGUGCUUAACACAUGCAAGUCGAACGAAGAGCGAUGGAAGCUUGCUUCUAUCAAUCUUAGUGGCGAACGGGUGAGUAACGCGUAAUCAACCUGCCCUUCAGAGGGGGACAACAGUUGGAAACGACUGCUAAUACCGCAUACGAUCUAAUCUCGGCAUCGAGGAUAGAUGAAAGGUGGCCUCUACAUGUAAGCUAUCACUGAAGGAGGGGAUUGCGUCUGAUUAGCUAGUUGGAGGGGUAACGGCCCACCAAGGCGAUGAUCAGUAGCCGGUCUGAGAGGAUGGACGGCCACAUUGGGACUGAGACACGGCCCAGACUCCUACGGGAGGCAGCAGUGGGGAAUCUUCCGCAAUGGACGAAAGUCUGACGGAGCAACGCCGCGUGAGUGAUGACGGCCUUCGGGUUGUAAAGCUCUGUUAAUCGGGACGAAAGGCCUUCUUGCGAAUAGGGAGAAGGAUUGACGGUACCGGAAUAAAAAGCCACGGCUAACUACGUG